GAGAGCAGGGAGGGCUUGCACGCAGGCGAGCACUGCUGAGCAUGUUUUAUUCUUCCAGUGGUCAUUCCGCAUCUCCAGCUCAGCGGGGUUCCAUCCUGCUGUCUGCACCCAAACAGAAGCUACUAAAAUGUCAGAAAUCGGUUAGUCUGCUGUGAAACAGUUUGGAUCUGAGGCUAGGUCUGAACCUGCCCUGCGUUACAUCCGUUUGGCCUCACUGACAGCUGUGUAGCACGUGAGAGUUGCCUGCAGGGCCGACCCUGAGCUAGCUCCAAGCCAUUCCCUGCCAGCUUUCCUACCAGAGCAGGAAGGAGUGCAGUGCAGGCUGGCUGUUUGAGCCUGGGAUCGCCAGCAAAUCUGGCAGCCCUCAGAGCUGAUAGGCAGUCCAUCUAGAGGUAAUCCCAGCACAGCGCCCCAGGCUGCCCCAAGGGUGAUCCAGGUGCAUUUUGGUGUAGGCUGCUUGUGGAGCGAUGCAGAGACGUUCAGGCUGCAUUUGUUGUUAUUCUGAAGCCCAGCGAAGCAGCCCCGGUGAGGAGUGAUCCCUGGCUGUGGCAUGUUCCAGCAGACGUGGUGGAAUGUGACAGUGAGGCACACACGCUGCCUGAGCCUCCCUGGGAGAUGGGAGCAGCACUCAUGCUCGCUUGGUGUCCUCGCUGCCUGCAGUCACCCUGCACAGGAGGAGCCCGGAGGUCAUUCCUGUCCCCACAGCAGCAGACAUCACCCGUUGAUGCUGCUCCCAGGUCUCUGGUAACAGAAGGUACGGGUCCCUGGGACUGGCAGAGUCACGACAUGGGGACUGCGUGCCAAGCAACACACCGUUCCUACAGCAGAGAAGGCCCAUGGUCUCCAGAGCAGCGAGACUGCAGCUGAGCUCCCUACAAAGAGCAGUUAAAACCACAUCCUGAACACCCCUCUGCCAGAACAGGGCUUUUCUCAGCCUUGCUUGGAACAGAUCUUUAAGAAAUUUAAUUGAAACAUGUUAGAACUUCUCUGUGGAGGAGAAACAUGCACUGCAUCCAGAAACACUGCAUUUCAGCCCUCUCCUGACGUUUCCAUGGCCUCAGUUAGUGGGAUGAAGCCUUUCUUCGUGGCAGAAUGACACAUGACAGAUUUGCAUCCUUAAAGAUCCUCGCUGAUGGCUGAACUGCUUUGCAUAUAAACGAGACCUAACUUUAACGGCUCAGCUGGUGAAUGUGAAGGGUUUACAGUGCUGGAUCAGGUCUCCAUUCACCACCAACCUCAGGGAACUCUGCUCUGGACUGCUAGAACACAGAUCAGGGAGGUGAUGCUGUUUCUAAGAGACAAGCUGCAGCACACAGGACCCAGCCAGCCUGCCUCCAUCCUACCCAGGACAGCCAGGUUUUGACUGCUAGUGUUCUGUGGCCCUAUGGAUUUGCCAGCUCAUACACAGCUCUGAAAAUGCAUGCACAUCUUCUAUGGACCGUACAGUACCAGACUGGUUGCAUGGAGGGUGAUACUGACAGUGCAGAAGAGGUCUGUCCUGCAUCUUAAGACACUGCCUGUGAUACCUCUGCAGGGCUCUUCUUCCACCUCCACGAUCUGUUUGUCUCCAAAUUGCCAAGGGUCAGAGAAAGGCAGCAGAAAGCCAGAUGAGUCUGGCUGAUCUCUGUCACUCCAGUGCCUGUCAGUAUUGGUCCGUGGGUAGUCUUCCAUGGAGAUGUUUGUCCUUGUAUUCCUUUUCACUGGGCCCCUCUGUCUGGUUGACACAUUUCUUCUUGAAGUGGGCUCUUUCUGCCCUGCCUUUGCCAGUGUGCUUUGUUGAGUAAGUGGAAGAAACUGUGAUGAGGGCUUGCUGACCCCAGCCUCACUCGAGCUGUAUGGGAAGGCCCCUUAGGAAAAGGUUUUUUGUGAUAUUUUCAGCUUAACAUUCCAAAUCCUCAAAGGCCUGGAAAAGACUGGUUGGCAGCCAAGCCUUGAGUGUCUAUUAAUCUGCCUGUAUCCUCCGUGUAGGUUUCCCUGUCCAUGGAACAAACCACAAGGGCAUUGUUAAUGAUGUUGCAGGGAUAAGAGAAGUUCUCAACCAAGAGGGAGAUCUCAGGAGCCUUGAAACAGUAUGAAUCCUUGUCUAAAGCGUGAGGAAAGCCUGUUUCUCUAAAGCAGAUGUGGCUGUGUCCUGAAAUCCAAGGACUAGAAAAAUACCUGCGUUCUGUUUAAUCUCUAAGGCAUCACAGAUUCAGAAAAAUACUUAGAGGUCUUCCAAGAAAGCAUUUGUGAAUUUGGGUGUGCAAGCCUGUAAAAGUGUUUAGUUGUCUAGCAAUGGUAGCAUAUGCAGAUAAAGCAUCUUUAUCUUGAAGGGCUGCUUUAACAGUUGUUAUUCCUCCACUGAAGCUGGAAGAAAAGGGAAUGAGUGCUGUGAUCCUAUCAGCUGUGAGAUAAGUAUCUGAUGACACAAAGGCUCUGGGGUGACAUCCUGCACCUGGCAACUCUGCAGCAGGUGUUAAGUGCAGAGCUACUGAUGCUGCUUAUUGUGAAGGCAGAACCCAACCCAAAACAUCCUCCUUUCUUGAGUUGGGUUUGUUUCAGCUCUUGGUGAUUUCUUAGGUAGCUUGUUAAUUUUGGGGGUUGUGCUGUGACCCUGCAGCAGCAUCAGAGAGAGUUACAGUCUGCAGCAAACAAGCCAUUUUGGCCUUUCAGAGAGGGUAAUGACACUUUGAGAUCCCUCAGUUGUAUUUUUCUCGUUGGCAAAUAAUCAGACCAGGUAUUUCUUUUUUAAUUUAUUUUAAUUAAAAAUACAGGUCUGCAUGCUCACCAGGUGGUUCGCUCGUUCAGAUGCUUAAUAGCACUUUGCAGUUGGCUGAAAUAUCUCUUUUCUCUUCUGAAAAACAGCAAUAGAGACAUUGAUCAGAAACUCACACUAACUCUUGGGGUCUGAGUGCCAGUGGUGCCAGCUCACAGAUACCCCCAUUACACAUGCUACAGUUGUCCUUUAUUGGCUAGCACUUCUUACCUACCUGUUGAUGUGUGUGAGGAAGAGGGCUGGCUCAUUCUGAUGCUGCUGACGAGGCACCCACCUUGGCUGCUGGUCCCACUCCUAUUCCUACCAGUUGCUCUUGGUGUUGUUGGGAACCUUGCUGUUGUGCAUCCCCAGAAUAGAGGGAGGAGGACAACCUUUGUAAAAAAGGCUGAGUAACUGAAAUGUCCUUGGCUCUGUACAGCACUGCUCAGCAACAACUAGAAACAGAAGUGUGUUUUCAAUAUUGUUUUUCUUCUAAAGCCUAAACAUAGCAUUAUGCCAGACACCAGGAAAAAUUUGGAAGAUGCUAAGAUAUCACCCACUGUGUCCUUUGCUACCCUUCCUGCUUCCCUGGGGCCCACGUCUCCCUUGCCCCUUUCUUGGCAGUAGGACUGUCCAUCUUUUGGAGGUAAGCUUCCACUUUGGAGGCCACUGCAUCCUCAAUCGGGCCAAGGUGGUCCAGGACCCUCAGCCCUUUCAGUCCCCUCCCAGAGGCGUGCUUGUGCUGCACACUGCCCAGCUGCACUCCUUGAGGUCGCAAAUGGAAGAGGAAGCUGUUUGGCUUUCAGAGCUUUGUUUACUUAUAGGAGGCCUAACAAACAUGGAUGUUAAGGCCCCCUAGGGGGUCUUUCUUACAAUGCUGGGGCCUAUUGGAUUAGGCAAAUGAGAGCCAGAGAUUUGCCUAAUAGCUUGACAGGCCAUGAGGGAUUAGACUCGUGGGCUGGUGUAAACGUGUGGUGCAGAGGUGCUGUGGUGUGGAUCUCUUCUUAGCCAUGGCUAAAUGCCUUGUCAAUGUGGGCUAAUCUUGUUUGCCUUGUCUUCCAUAAUGCCGCCUUACAGGACGCAGCCUCUGCCGAUUUAAUUACUGCGGAAUGGAACGGUAGGCUUUUGUUUUGUGGGUGCACCUCCUGCAUUACACAGCACUUUCAGCGUUACAGGCAUCAGUAAUUAACAGCAGUUUUUAACUGGCAUUGGUUCCAGCUCCUGAACUAGUUGCUCCCUCGGGACCAAAGGUUUCAUUCCGUUGGUUGAAGGCAGCUCCCUCUGUGGAGGUCCCACCGCUAUCCCUGCACUGUGGAUCUGCUGCUCCACGCUCCUUCAGCAGACGUUUGCAUGAACCGUGUCCACGUCCCCAGGUAGUGGGAAGUUUAAAACCAUCAUGUGAGUGCGAAGGAGAGCUUGCAUUUUGGCCUGAGAGCUCCAGUAGCAGCCCUGCUUUGUAAGGUUUACAUUCUUCUUGGAGCACGGAAAAACCAGGAUCUGGGGGUUGUUUGCACGCUCGUUCUGCAGACCGGGAAAGACGAUUUUCCAUUUCUGCUUUGCAGCGUCUGUGAGUGAGAUCUGUCCCUGUGCCACAUCCGCGCGGCAUCCUCCUGCUGCGUGCAGGGGCUGGGGGCACACAUUGCCUUUGCAAUGGCAGCUGUCAUAGCGGUGGCCGCCCAUCACCUGGGCUUGGCCAGGCCUGGGGGCACCUUCCCCUCCGUGUUCAGCUCUGCUGAGGAUACCCAGCCACACAUUGUCCCCGCUCCCCUCCAGCCUGUCCCCAGCCCCUCCUGAUGGCUUUUCACCCCAUCCCUCCUGCUGCCACAAUCCCUGUUCUGUCUGCAGCCUCGUGGCAUGCCAAUGUGAUAAAUGCGUUCUCUGUUCUCCGGCACUGGCUGCUCAUCAGAGUGCCGGGGAGCUGCUCACAGAGAGCCAUUGAGUGCUGUCACCCGCAGUGCUGUCACCCUCAGUGCUGUCACCCAUCCCACAGCACCACUGCUGCCGGCACGGGCAGAGCCCCGAGGCCGCCUAGCACUGCUCUGCUCCACUGCUGGAGGGGACGAGGUUGGCCUGACGUGUUCGUUCUUGACAAAUACAUGUCAGAUUGAGUCAUCUCUGCUUGCUCCCUGCUCCAAACUCCACCUGGCCACAGCUCCUGCUGCAGCAAAGCCCUGCCCUGGUUGCUGCUAAGCGCUGAUGAAAGCUGCUCACCUGUUGGCCACGGGUAGCCAUGGUAUAAGUAUUGCAUUUUUUUAAAUAACAUUUCAUAGCAAUAAAUGUCAGAAUCAUAGAAUUGUUUGAGUUGGAAGGGAUCCUCAAGGGCCACCUGGUCCAACUCCCCUGCAAUGCACAGGGACACCUACAGCUCCAUCAGGUGCUCAGAGCCCCAUGCAGCUUGACCUUGGGCAUUGAGGGGCUGUUUCUCCUACUUCCACUCUACUUUUCCUCUCGUAGAACUGUGUUGGGGUCAGGAGUGAACCCCUCAGCUAUUAGAAAUGAGAACCACUCUCUCUUCCAGGCUCAGCAGAAGAGAAGCUCGCAAAGACAAGCCAUGACUUCCUGCCUCAGCUCUUGGAAGAACACUCACUUCUUUCAGCAGGAAUGCUUUGGUGUUGGGUGUUCCAGUAGCGUUCCAUAUCACCUUUCACAUGCAGAACUCUGGGUGCUCUGCUCCUCCUUGUGUAAGACCUUGGCUCUGGGUCCUUGCUGUGUUGAAACUGGCGGCAUUGAAGGGCCCUUUGGGCUGGGAGGAUCAGGCCCAUGGGAGAGCAAAGGGAAACACCCAGAGUUGGGACUGUUGUUGUGCAAGUCCUUGGAGGGAUGCCUGAUGGCUGUGUUACUCACCUUGGGUUGCUGGGACACCAGCAGGAGAGACUGAUGUCUCAAAGGUGAGCUGAGGGCUCACCCAGAGCCUCUCUGGGGUGGUGGGCACCCCACUGCAGUGAUAGUGCUUACCAUGGUCGUGCCUGUGGCACGAUCUGCUUCCAUAUCCCCACCCUGUAGGACAUCUUUUGUGUCCCGCUGGCCCCAGGGACACUCCAUGGUUUAUGGCCGCGUGACCAAGGGGCGUCCUUGAGCCUUCCUCCUGAGGGUUGUAUUCUUUAAGAUGAGAAAAUGCUCUCUGUGCCCUUCCCCCAGCUCAAAGCAUCCUGUACAAAAAUAAAGCGCCCAAAAUAGCCCUAGACAGUGCUUGACAUUUGCCAGACAGCUGCUCGCGAGAGUGCUGCAAAGAUUAUGGAUUGCUGUGAGCUUCCCUCCUGCUGCCCGCGUGUGCCUUGCAACAGGGCCAGUCUCCACCAGGCUCUCAUGGCCUGAAAAAGGCAGCACAGGGACAGGGGGUGCAGGGACAGGCACCCACCAGGUGUGGGCUCGCUUCUCCAAGGGCUGGAGCACAGCAGCCCCAGUGCAGCCAGGACACGUCACCCUAUUGCGGGCCGCCAAAAAGUCAUCAGGUCAACCCAGGAGCCCUGCAGGAAAGCUGUGGCUCAGAGGGGACCUGGGAGGUGCCUCAGAUCAGAGCCUUGGAUCAAGCCCUCAGGAGCAGAGCAGGGAGGGGGAGGGAGGGGGGAAAGCAGCAAGGAUAUGCCAAAAUCAGCACCAGGGGAAGGAUAUGACACAGUGGAGUGAGGCCACGGGGAGGCCAUGGUAUGGCAAGGGUGGGAGAAAGGGGCACAGCAUGGCAGCAGGAAGCCUGGAGGCAGUUCCAACACCUGAAAUUCAGGAGGACCAUCCUUCAGCAGAGUCUGAUCCUGGAAAGGGAGAGUACAAGGCAUGAGAUGAGAUGAGAUGAAAUAUGUAGGGGCUUCAUCGUCUAAAAGUGAGAUUUCAGCAAGGCAUGACCCAGUGGUUUUGUCAGUAACUUCUUAAGAGUACACACGUAUUUACAGCCAAUGUCUCAGUGGCCUUUAAAUAGGAAAAAAAAGCAUGCAUGCAAUAUGGAGAUGUAUUAUUUAGGACAGAACAUGGUCCUUGAAAUACUAAUGCAGUAAAGUCUGUAAGUGAGGGACGGAGGUACCUGAGGAGCCAUGUGAGCCCCAGCAACACUGCGGUAGGACAGGUGUAGAGGUGCUGCCAGCUGCCAGAGGCACACCAGGAGCAGCUUCAGAUUCUCCAGGGGAUUUUAUGCCCCAAACUAACCAUCAGCUCAGCCCAGCUCAUCUGUGGGGCACACAGGACAUCGCGUUCUGAGCCUAGCGACAUAUCCCCAACUCAAGGGAUGGAUCUCCACUCAUAGCCUUGAGCCUCAAGCCUCACACACCACCUCAUUAUAUUCUUUUUCAUUGUCACGUUGACCAAAUCAAGGUUUCCAUGGAAGUGCUGGGAGUUCUCUGCAGGAUCUGUCUCGUUCCCUGGGCCAUGAGACGAAAGGCUCUUCAGAUCUCUGAGAACAGGCACUUUCAAGCUGUUUUCCCAUGCCUGUUGAUCCAGUCUGUGCACAGACCCGUCCCUGCUGCUCCACCAGCCCACAGCUUUGAUGUCGGCAGCCCGGCGUGCUCACCUCCGAAGCAUUUCCCAGCACAUGUCUGGCUGUUUAUACCUUCGAGGCACGCAGCCGCUCUCUUCUGUUUAAGGACCGUCUUGACCACAUCAGUAGAGUAAGAAUCGCUAAAAAUAGACGAGCUGGCAAACUUCACAAUAUGGAAAAUGACAUGCUUUUGAAAUCUCUGGAAAAGGAUGGAUUCCUUAAAGGAUAGUUUACAAAUACUGAUUUCAUUAUUUAUGGUAGCCGUAAAACACAGUGCAUGCGGAAAGCAUCGUCCCAUUGAAGCCGGGUGUUACUCAUUACAGCGGUGUUCGCGUUCCAGCGGGUUCCUCUUUUCUCCCCUUGCCCUGCCAAUGUGUUGUCCCUCACCCUCCCCGAUUUCUUCAUUCCUGAAGCCUCCGGUAGCCAAGGGAACGUGCUCCUUUCUGUGCCAGCUGUCCUGGUCUUAUUGUUUCUUCUAAAAGAUUUAUUGCAUCGUUGCUCCCUGCUCCUCUCACUCUUUCCACCGGAGUAUUUGUGGACGCGGGUCCUGCACCUGUUCCCCAGUCCUCUUCUCCUCCCUGUCCUGCCCUUCCGUGGGGCUCUCCUGCAGGAACGCCGUGGGUUUGUGUUUCAUCCCUAGGCCAUACCUUGGGAACACUGAAGCCGUGCCCUGCAGUCUUGGCACAGCAAAAGCAAGAGGUUUCUCAGGAAUGUUCUUUAGGGCUCUGGGAUCCGCUUCAACUGUUACAGACAUGUAUAGAUGUAGGGCUGUAUGUACCCGGACAGAAUGUCUCACACCUCACCGCGACAGCAAGCAAGCUCUGCUCCAUUCAAGGCAGACCUCUCUGCGGACAGGGCUGCUGCCCGUGUCUCCUGUGACAUUUGCUCCGUUCCAGCUGCCCUGGGGUCAACCCCCUGGGGUUAAGCAGAGCUCCUGGUGCAGGGUUAAUGCUGUGCUCACGCGCUCCCCGAUGUAUUUAUAACUUUUACAUCCCUCUGACAUUUUAUGGCCAGACAGCAUUACAAGGGACAAGUGCUUUCCAUUACGCACUGGGAUGAGCUCCCGCUCGCGCCUCGCAGCUCCUAUGACAUAAUGCACGGCCCAGUGGGGCACAGCCUGGGAUGCCCCAGCAUCAGUAUGGUGUGCAGCCAGCCAGCCCCACUGCUCAUCCUUGGCCCUGUUGUGAGAAACACAACCUGGAUUAAAAUGUCCAUGGAGGGGAAGGUGCACAUGGCCCUGUGGCUGCCCUGGCUUCAGUUUCAGCCCCAGGCUGCCCCUGGCUCAGCUGACCCAGAGACAGCAAAGACUUUGCUCCAUCUGGGAAUGGGGAAAGUGUGACCAAGGGACAAAUGCUGCCUGUGUGCACGCAGAUGGCCCAACUGCUGCCCUAGCAUGGGUGAAGGAGGUAAAAAGAGUUAAAAGGACAGCACUUGCAGCUCCGCACAGGUCACUGCCUUGGCAACUGCCCCUUGGGAAACAUUUUACUCCCAUUUUGUUCCUGCCUGACAAGGAAAAGAGGUGGAAGCAGGGCAGGCCCAGUGGCCACCGGGACAGGCAGCCAUGGGGUCGCACGCUGCUGAGCACACGCAGCCCCAGACACUGCACCCCCCUCCUCUUUGUAAAGGCUUUUGCAAGCAAUGCCCUGGAGCAGAAUGAAUUAAAGCCUAAUAAAGCAGUGGUAAUUUGCAAACUGGAAAUGCUCCAGAGUGCCCAGGACUAAUUCAUUAAAACCUUCCUCUGCCCCUCCCAUCCCCUGGCAGGCUCUGGGCAAAGGCUUCGAGCUGUGGCCCCACUGCCCCGCACUUCCUUGAGCUGCAGCCCCAUGCUGUGUGUGGUGGUGCAGGGACUGACCCCAGUGCUGGGACCAAACCAGGCACCGCUUGGCUGAGCUCCUCUGGAGGCAGCAGGUGCCAUGAAUUCGAGCCCGGUGUCUGGGGGCUCGGGGCAGCUCCGCCAUCCCAGCAAUGUGCCCGCUAAGCAGGGAUCGGCAGCGAGCAGAAACGCUAUCCAGAGCCAUCCAAGGUGGGUGGACAGGAGCUGCCCAAGUCCGGCCGAGCUCCAAGUCCCAUUGGCAUUUUUUGUGCAUUGCCAGCCAGGCUGUCUGCCUCCCAGCUGGCUUCUGCCACAGCUCAGAUUGAGGGAGAGGCCAGGCUUCCAUUUCCUCGCCCCUAAUUUCCAAGCCUGCAGCUCCUUGCAGGCUUCUCCCUGAAAAAUGCAAACACUCGGCCCUCAUCCCCUUUCUCAUGGGACUGCAGAGCUAAUUCGCUUUCCCCACAUUUGCAUCCCACAAAUGAUGCCCAGCAGAUACACCCAGCACGUAAACACAGUCGUUAGCAUUUAGUUACAUGUACACCUACACACACACACGCUGAGAUGAGGGGUUCUUCCAGUGCAGCUCAACUUCUGCAAAGUGUUCAUAAGGCCAACUCUCAUUUGAAACCGAGCCUCAAAACCUUGGAAGGACUUGGCUGAUCCUCAUUGAAAAUUUGACUGAUGUGUUUGGAAAGUGCAACAAACCUCAAAUCAGAGGAGGGCUGCAUGAGCUGCUUGCUUUCCUUGUUCAUUUCUGGCAAGCAGGCGCUUCUGACCCUGAGCUCCUAAACUUGAUUCCUCCACUAAAGGAAAUCCAGCAGAAGCUGCCGGACUGCCUCUCCGAUGCCAAAGCACCAGGCAGCACCUAUUGCUGAGCAGCACUGAGCUGCAGUGGGAUGGCCACACACCUCGGGGAUCGGGGACCUCAGCACUGUCCGCACCCUUCUCUGCACGGCCGUGCUCACGGAGAGCUGGAAGCACUGCAGCAAAGGGCAGGGAACCUAAGAAGCUUUAUUUUAAUUGAUCUGAGUUCACUGAGCCUGCCAAGUUAAUGAGUCCCCAGCAAGCAGCUUUAACGAGAGCCCGUGGCAGGCUUAAAGGAACAAGAUGAAAAUGAGGGCAGAAAUAGAUGCUUGUCUGCAGAGCCUGAUCUGCUGGGGCCAGCGAGGCGAGGAGGAGCCGGCGAGGGCUGGCGGCAAACGCGGGGGCACAAGGCGAAUGUGCUGCUUCAGCGCUUUGCAUUUCUGCCCUCCCGCCAAGCACAAACCCUGCUCUGCCGGUCCUCUGCCGGCCAUUAAUCCUCAGGGCAGAGGGAAGCGUUGCUCCCACCCUCCGUACCCUUCGGUCUUGCCCAAGUGAGAGUUCAGUCUUGGGGGCUGUGGAGAAUCCCCCCUGCAGCACUGGUAUCCGUGGGUGGUGAGCAACAGAGAUGCUGCAGACCCAUUGCCCUUCUCCUGCCCACCCAUCAUCCUUCUCCUGCCUAUAUCCAUUAUGCUUUUCCUGCCCACCAAUUACCCUUCUCCUGCCCACCCACGACCCUUCUCCUGCCCAUCCAUCGCUCUUUUUCUGCCCACCCAUUGCCCUUCUCCUGCCCACAUCGCAGCCCAGCUGAGCGCACGGCUCAGCCCAAGCCGGGCUGACCAGGGCCGGCUCCAGGCACUGAAAGGAGCCAUUGUCUGCCCGAGGCUUUGAAGAUGAAGGCUCUUGUACAAGUGCCAGGUGGCGGUGGGGUGGCCACGGCCGGUGCUGGGACAGCUCUUGGCUUGUGGGAUCCUGCUGUCAGCACCCCACACCCAGAGAAAAGAAAAAGAUGUGAGAAGGAGAGUGUGUUUUCUCAAACCAAACUGGGCUGCAGCCCCCACCCCUCCCGCAGGGCCCUGGUCCCUGUGAGCCCAGCAGGGCCGCAGGCACCGGGGGUGCGGAUGUCCCGUGCCACCCGCAGGGCUGGGGCUGGCAGCGGGGCUGUGCGGAAGCGCUGGGAGAAAACACAUCGGGGAGGGCGGUGAGCCCGGCUGCUGUUCCUCCCGCCGCACGGCCGGGCCGGGGCAGGGCAGCUGCUGUGAGUUCACUGGAGCAGCACUUUCCCACAGUCUGGAGGAGUGACACAUGGCUCUCACACAUUCCUGUGCCGGCAGGCUCGGCCGUGCUUGGCGAGGAGUCAAGGCAGACGGAGGGCUGCCGCUGGGAGCUGCUGAUUAGCAGGUUCCGACUUUGGCACCAGCCCGGCCCUUGGAGCUCCGGGCGGCUUCGUGCGAGCACUUAACCCUUCCAGCGGCCGGGAGCGAUGCCUCCCUCCUGAUAGCAUCGAUUUCCCAACCCCAGGGAGGCUGCUGAGCUCAUUCCCAGCGAGCAACCGCAGCCGCAGGUGGGGGCUGUGGGUGCACCACGAGCAAUGGUUACGUGUCUCCCAUUCGUCCUCGAGAUAGAGGAGCUGGUUCAGUGCCUUCCUCGUUGCCUGCUGGCUGUGCCUGCUUCCAGCCCAACCAUGACCUCCUCUAAGGCUGCAAAGAGCUUUCUGCCAAACAGCCGGAGGCGAGCCCGGGAUGUCUGGGGGAAUGCAGACAAUGCAAACGCUCCCUUUUAUCUCACCUAGGUUUUUUCCGCUCCUUGCAAUUAGCUGCUGCUCUGUCUGCUCCCCAUUUCCCUGCGGUUCCUCCCGGCAGCCCUGCCUCUGAAAUGUGUGGAAGGAAAGCCACAUCCCCGUGUGCCCUUCAGCUCUUCCAACAGCUCUCCGGUGGCCGUAGGCACUGUGAUGGCUGCUGUGGGCUCGGCGGGGCUCAGCAUCACCAGGACCACCCUCACCCUUCCUCCUGCCCCCGUCCCCAGGUGGGGAAACCACAAUGUACGGGACCACAGUUUCAAUCCUUCUGAAGCAGCGCAGGAAGCAGCACAGCCUAAAACCCUUCAGAUAUUUGCUUUGACAAGAAACCAGAUAGCCGGAUCCGUGCGGUGCGAGUCCUGCCAGCCCACCCUCUUCCCGCACUCAGCCACUACAUGGCCAUCCCAAAUAUUAUUUUUUGGAAACCACUUCCAUAGAUCAACAGAGGCGUUGCGGCAGAGCCGUGCAGCCGGGGAGCCGGAGUGCUGCCACUCACUGGAGCAGAACAAGCCAGCGAGUCCGCACAGAACGGGAUUAAUGAAAGCCAGACCACAAAGCCCAUAAAAACAUAUUUCUUGCUUUUAUUAGACCAAUGCAAUUGUAUGGAAAGAGCAGACAGCUCUGAGAUGCCCAGACCCAAUAUCAUGGACAUUGCCACCACCAAAGCAGCUGCGUGUCCCCUGCUGUGCACCAGGGCACGGGGAUGCUGCUGCUCAUCCCCAUUGGUUUGGCCUCACUGGGACAAGCUGAAAAUAAAAUGUCCCCGUGGGGAGGGGAAAUGCUUUUCCUGUCGUAGGAGGCAUGAUCUCCUGAGUGAGCACUGGCAAAGAAAGGCAUCUUGUUUGGGGGGCUCUGCAAGGCAAGAUGAAAGGGGAAACCUACAUUUUUCAGCCCAGCCUGCUCUUGACGUGGGAAAAUAGCACAGACAAGAAUAGAUAGCUUGUUGGCUCGUUUUUUUUCCUUAACAGAUUAUCUGUGUGAAUGCGCCAUGCUAAGCUGGGAGUGAGGCGGGGAUGCCCCCAGCCAGCCCUGCUCCCAUCCACCCCCCGGGCACCCCGGGGCUGCAGGAGCUCAGCACACUGUGACCACGGAGGUGGCUCUGAUGUGCGCACGGCCCCACGCACCCACAUCUGGGAUGUGAAAGUGCCGUGCUGAGUUUUUCCCCCUGGAGACAUGGGACACCGCCUGCUGCGUUGGUGACAGACACAGUGCCGCGUGUGGGACAGCGGCAGGGCCACGGCAGCUCCUGCACAGGAGUGGAUCCCUGCCAAAGGGCAGAGUUAGGCGCUGGGCCGCCCGGCCGCAGGCAUGUGCACCAAAAGGAGGCCAGGAGCAGCACGCUGCCUUCAAACAAUGCAAUUACAGCACAAUGUGCUCGGGGUCGCUUUUGUCCCUUUUUGAACCAUUUGGGGCACGUUGUCAGGUCGGAGGCCGAAAGACCCAGAAACGCGCUUCAGUGACCACUCCCCAUUCUCACGGAGCCUCGGCGUGACCGUGAGCCCCAUCUCCCCCCUUCCCCCCGCAUCCCAACCCCCACAGCGGGGUCUGCAGGUCAGCCCCAUCGCCGCCCGCCCGGAGCCACCAGGUGAGGCGCGGCCGCGCGUGUGCAUGCACCGGGAGCUGUUUGCAUAUGAAAGUGGCCGUGCGCUCGGCGGGGCUGUAUCAUUUAUUGUAUGAUCUUAUCUGGCGCGUGCCUCAGCCGCCCUUUCCCACACUCUGCAUGCUCGGCUGCCAAGGCCCCGGGCUUAGCCUGUCAGCAUUACCCGGGCUCAGCAGGCAGGCAGUAAUUCCCUGAAUAAAGAAAACAUUUUAAGGUUUGA